UCUCAGCCCAUCAGUCCUGACCCCGGCCGGCGUGUGCCCUCGGGGAGCCGGGACCACCCUCCGGCGUCUAGGGACUAGAGCUCGGCGGGGCGGGAGACCCUCCCGAGCCAACCCGCCGCAAAGGUCUUUGUUGCAGCAGGUGGGCUCCUUAGUUGUGGCAUGCGAACUCCCAGUUGCAGCAUGCGUGUGGGAUCUAGUUCCCUGACCAGGGAUCGAACCUGGGCCCCUGCAUUGGGAGCACAGAGUCUUAUCCACUAUGCCACCAGCCCCUGGUGCACAAGCUUCCAGGAAGAGAACGUGAGCUCACUUGAUCAUGGACAGGAAUGCACUUGGAGCAGAAACAAGGAUGCUGAUACCAUGUCUGCUCCCCACUCUCUGGGGGUGGGGGAGUGGGAAUGGGGGCAUCUCUUCUUCCAGAGGCCAGAUCUGUCACAAGAUGCCUGUUCAGGCAACCCAACUACCUGGGAUUCCCUCUCCCUAGGGACCACGAAACCUUCUUGAUUUCCUCAGUCUUAAUGUGUGAGAGAGACUACCUCCUCCAGGAAGCCCAUGACCAGAAUAGACAAGGACACACCCUGGCCUUCAGUAGAUGGGCGCUGAGACAGAACGUGGCCUGCUGGCAGCAUUCCCAUCAAUGUCAAAAUCUCAGGGAUGAGUCGAUAGUUGGGAGUCCCUUGACUAUAUAAUUAAAAACUACAUUU